rnacentral:rRNA from 1 species
GACCUCAAAUCAGGUAGGACUACCCGCUGAACUUAAGCAUAUCAAUAAGCGGAGGAAAAGAAACUAACAAGGAUUCCCUUAGUAACUGCGAGUGAAGAGGGAAAAGCUCAAAUUUAAAAUCUGGCAGUGUUUCACUGUCCGAGUUGUAACCUAGAGAAGUGUAACCUGCGCUGGACCGUGUANAAGUCUCCUGGAAUGGAGCAUCACAGAGGGUGAGAAUCCCGUCUUUGACAUGGACCACCAGUGCAUUGUGGUUGUGCUCUCAACGAGUCGAGUUGUUUGGGAAUGCAGCUCUAAAUGGGUGGUAAAUUCCAUCUAAAGCUAAAUAUUGGCGAGAGACCGAUAGCGAACAAGUACCGUGAGGGAAAGAUGAAAAGAACUUUGGAAAGAGAGUUAAACAGUAUGUGAAAUUGUUGAAAGGGAAACGUUUGAAGUCAGUCGCGUUGGUUGGGGAUCAGCCUGACAUUGUUGGGUUUACUUCCUGGUCGACGGGCCAACAUCAGUUUUGACUGCCAGAAAAAGGCCAAGGGAAUGUGGCACCUUUGGGUGUGUUAUAGCCCUUGGUCGUAUAUGGUGAUUGGGACUGAGGAAAGCAGCGUGCCGAAAGGCCGGGUUUCGACCACGUUCACGCUGAGGAUGUUGGCAUAAUGGCUUUAAGCGACCCGUCUUGAAACACGGACCAAGGAGUCUAACAUGCAUGCGAGUGUUUGGGUGGAAAACCCUUACGCGUAAUGAAAGUGAAAGUUGAGAUCCCUGUCGUGGGGAGCAUCGACGCCCGGACCAGAACUUUUGGGACGGAUCUGCGGUAGAGCACGUAUGUUGGGACCCGAAAGAUGGUGAACUAUGCCUGAAUAGGGUGAAGCCAGAGGAAACUCUGGUGGAGGCUCGUAGCGAUUCUGACGUGCAAAUCGAUCGUCAAAUUUGGGUAUAGGGGCGAAAGACUAAUCGAACCAUUAG